CAGGUUUUGCCCAUCAUUGUUUUCUUCAGCUGCACCAUGUCAGUUCUCUACUACGUGAGCCUCAUGCAGUGGGUGAUCCUGAAGAUCUCCUGGCUGAUGCAGGCCACCAUGGGUCCCAUGGCCACGGAGACCCUGAGUGUGGCUUGAAACAUCUUUGUGAGCCAGGUGGAGGGGGUACGCCCCAAGUGCCCGUGCUAGCCUGACCAGCUCUGCCUGUUGGACAUCUUUCCCGUUUGCAGACUGAGGCUCCUCUACUGAUCCGGCCCUACUUGGCAGACAUGACACUCUCUGAAAUCCACGUUGUCAUAACCAGAGGCUGUGCCACCAUUGCCGGCAGCCUGCUGGACGCCUACAUCUCCUUUGGGAGAUGCUCAAAACCUCUUAGAAGCAGCUAGCAGUGGGGCCGCCAUGUCCGUGAGGGUCAUGACCAACAUCGCAGCCAACCUGAUUGCUU